ensembl:snoRNA SNORD18 Small nucleolar RNA SNORD18
CCUGAAUGAUGAUAUUCCACUUCAUUGGUCCGUGUUUCUGAAAACACAUGAUUUGGUGGAAGUUCUGACUUA